rnacentral:rRNA from 1 species
GAUGAACGCUGGCGGCGUGCCUAAUACAUGCAAGUCGAGCGAAGCGGGGACGGGUGAGUAACACGUGGAUAACCUCCUAUAAGACUGGGAUAACUUCGGGAAACCGGAGCUAAACCGGAUCCUUAUAGAUGGAUCCGCGCUGCAUUGGCUAGUUGGUACGGUAACGGCUUACCAAGGCAACGAUGGAUAGCCGACCUGAGAGGGUGAUCGGCCACACUGGAACUGAGACACGGUCCGGAUUCCUACGGGGGGAAGCAGUAGGGAAUCUUCCGCAAUGGGCGAAAGCCUGACGGAGCAAGGCCGCGGGGUGGAUGAAGGUCUUCGGUUCGUAAAACUCUGUUAUUAGGGAAGCGGUACCUACACAGAAAGCCACGGCUAACUCCGUGCCAGCAGCCGCGGUAAUAC